ACUGAAAUGAAACCCAUUAUUUUAAAAACUCGCAAGCUCUCUCUCUCCUCCUUACCCGAUUCUCUCUCUUUCCCUAUUUCUCUCCCGCCUGCGUCUCUGUGAGGUUCGACAGUCACCGCGCCGUCGUCCACCAACGACACGUGUCGGACCAGGCGACGCAAGAGGUCGCCAACCUUCGACCACCACAAGCCCAACCCCUCACGUGCGCCCUAAGAUCUCCAACAGAGCCUUUGAAGUUGCAUCGAUUCCAUGAACUUCAAAGCUUCUUGGGCAUUUUUCGACCGCCUCAAGCCACUCUAAGCCAAACGAAGACCACCACCGUAUUCCUAGUGCUUUGAGCUUCAAAACCCACUAAAGGAUCGGGCUCAAAGGUCGUCGGAAAUUGAAGUUGACGUUCGUCGGAAUCCAUGAAAAUCCGAGAAUGCAUGGCUCUAAUCUGACCAUUCUAGGUCAUUCUAAGCUAAACCGUCACCACCAUGAGACUCCCUGAGCUUUGGGCUUUGAAGCCCAGCCACUGUUUUCUCGAAUCACGACCGUGGGGUGGUGGCGCUGCCGCCGUUGCCGGAGCUUCAGUGAGGGUCUCGACCAUCAGCCACUUUUGGGUGUUUUGAGGAUUAAAGACUAUGGGAAAAGCUUGGUUGAUAGCUCUUGCUGAGUAAUCUUAUAUAUCUAAGGACACGAGGAAAAUAGCUAUAGUGGCGGUAAGGUUCGUGGAUGCUUGGGGAAUGUGUAUCGGUGGUGAAUGGAGUCAAGGAGUCAAGAGUUCGAUUUUCGAGGAUGUAGUCUUGUUUUAUGGUUUUACAUGUAUUUUUCCGCACUUGCUAUGUAACUCCUUUUAUUUUAAAUUAUGUCUUGUUUUUAAGACAAUGGGAUCCCAUAUCCUACUUGAUAUUUUAUGAAAGUAACUCUUAUUUCUACAAGUUUUUAAUAAAGUUAUGGUAUUUUCGCAAA